rnacentral:tRNA from 1 species
GGUUCCAUGGUAUAGCAGUUAGCACGCCUGCUUUACACGCAGAAAGUCUUGAAUUCACGCCCCAGUGGAGCCA